GAUGAACGCUGGCGGCGUGCUUAACACAUGCAAGUCGAACGGAAAGGCCAGUGCUUGCACUGGUACUCGAGUGGCGAACGGGUGAGUAACACGUGGGUGAUCUGCCCUGCACUUCGGGAUAAGCCUGGGAAACUGGGUCUAAUACCGGAUAGGACAAUGGUUUGGAUGCCGUUGUGGAAAGUUUUUUCGGUGUGGGAUGAGCUCGCGGCCUAUCAGCUUGUUGGUGGGGUAAUGGCCUACCAAGGCGUCGACGGGUAGCCGGCCUGAGAGGGUGUACGGCCACAUUGGGACUGAGAUACAGCCCAGACUCCUACGGGAGGCAGCAGUGGGGAAUAUGGCACAAUGGGCGCAAGCCUGAUGCAGAGACGCCGCGUGGGGGAUGACGGCCUUCGGGUUGUAAACUCCUUUCGCUAGGGACGAAGCGUAUUUGUGACGGUACCUGGAGAAGAAGCACCGGCUAACUACGUG
rnacentral:rRNA from 1 species